GAUUCUGGCUCAGGAUGAACGCUGGCGGCAUGCCUAAUACAUGCAAGUCGAACGGAGUGAAGCCUUCGGGUUUCAUUCAGUGGCGAACGGGUGAGUAAUACGCAGGGAACCUGGCCAUGGCAGGGGGAUACACUCUGGAAACGGAGCAUAAGACCCCAUAGGCAGUAAGGCGGCAUCGCCUUACUGUUAAAGAAAGCUGAAAGGCUUUGGCGAUGGAUGGACCUGCGGUGCAUUAGCUUGUUGGUGAGGCAACGGCUUACCAAGGCGAUGAUGCAUAGCCGGCCUGAGAGGGCGGACGGCCACACUGGGACUGAGACACGGCCCAGACUCCUGCGGGAGGCAGCAGUAGGGAAUUUUCGUCAAUGGGCGCAAGCCUGAACGAGCAAUGCCGCGUGAGUGAGGAAGGUCUUCGGACUGUAAAGCUCUGUUGCCGGGGAAAAAGGGGAAAUGCAGGAAAUGGCAUUUCAUGGAUGGUACCCGGCCAGAAAGCCACGGCUAACUACGUGCCAGCAGCCGCGGUAAUACGUAGGUGGCGAGCGUUAUCCGGAAUGAUUGGGCGUAAAGGGUGCGCAGGCGGUCUGUUAAGUCUGAAGGCAAAGGGAUGAGCUCAACUCAUUUAUGAUUCAGAAACUGGCAGACUUGAGGACAGGAGAGGGCGGUGGAACUCCAUGUGUAGCGGUAAAAUGCGCAGAGAUAUGGAAGAACACCAGUGGCGAAGGCGGCCGCCUGGCCUGUGACUGACGCUGAGGCACGAAAGCGUGGGGAGCAAAUAGGAUUAGAUACCCUAGUAGUCCACGCCGUAAACGAUGAGGAGCAGGUGUUGGGAGUGAAAUCUCAGUGCCGAAGCCAACGCAGUGACUCCUCCGCCUGGGGAGUAUGCACGCAAGUGUGAAACUCAAAGGAAUUGACGGGGGCCCGCACAAGCGGUGGAGUAUGUGGUUUAAUUCGAAGCAACGCGAAGAACCUUACCAGGUUUUGACAUCGGAUGCGAAGGCGCAGAGAUGCGCUGGAGGCUAUCAUCCAGACAGGUGGUGCAUGGUUGUCGUCAGCUCGUGUCGUGAGAUGUUCAGUUAAGUCUGGCAACGAGCGCAACCCCCGUGGUAUGUUACUAACGCAUUUGGGCGAGGACUCAUAUCAGACUGCCGGUGACAAACCGGAGGAAGGCGGGGAUGACGUCAAAUCAUCAUGCCCCUUAUGACCUGGGCUACACACGUACUACAAUGGCGUCUACAGAGGGAAGCGACCCUGAGAAGGGAAGCGAAACCGGAAAAGGGCGUCCCAGUUCGGAUUGAAGUCUGCAACCCGACUUCAUGAAGAUGGAAUCGCUAGUAAUCGCGGAUCAGCAUGCCGCGGUGAAUACGUUCCCGGGCCUUGUACACACCGCCCGUCAAACCAUGGAAGCCGGCAACGCCCGAAGCCGGUGGCAUAACCUUUUAGGAGUGAGCCGUCGAAGGCGGGGCCGAUGACUGGGGUUAAGUCGUAACAAGGUACCC
rnacentral:rRNA from 1 species